UGGGCGUGGCGGUACCCGGACCAGGAGGUGGAAAAGCGUGAGAAACGGAGGCAGCACCGCGGGCCGCGCCGCUGAGAGGCAGAGGAAGGUAAAGCCUGAAGGACUGUCCCAGCCUCGAGCCGGCUGUGACCGCGUCGAUAAAGCAGGGCUUGGAGGAAGCUCAUCUAUGUAUUAAGAAUAUCAUCUAGCAGAGAAGACCAGCAUUCAGCAUCAUUGUUUUUAUUCAAAAAGCAUCACCAUCUAGAGUGCGGGUAACAGAAGAACAAAGAGCUGCCGUUCUAGCGAGGAUCCUUCAGGAAGCUGCAAGUUGGAAUGUUCAUACAGCCAGUGAACAUGUUGUUAUGAAUACUUCUUUUGGAAGUGAGCCCUUGUAACAGCAUUAAGCAUCUGCCGUGACUUUCAUUUGAGCUCCAGAAGUGAGUCUACCGUACAGGACCAUAAAAGAACAAUAUCCAAAACCUAUUUGAAGACUUUCAGAGAAGAAACCAAAUUUAUUUUUCCACACUACUUGAGUAACUAGAAAAGGAUCCUAACUCUGCUUGUGGUCUGCUUCAAAAAGACAACUUAGUUCUCAACCUGGAAGUCAGCAUCACUUCACAGAUGAUGGUGUUCCCAAGGAGCAACAUGCCUCACAAGCACUCCAGAGCUGCAUCUUCUCGUCCUGAUCUGACGAGCAGCUCAGUGAGUAAGCUAAACUUCACAGACUUC